rnacentral:rRNA from 1 species
ACCGGCAGCUCAAGUGGUGGCCAUUUUUAUUGGGCCUAAAUCUUUCGUAUCCGGUUUGAUAAGUCUCUGGUGAAAUCCCGCAGCUUAACUGUGGGACUUGCUGGAGAUACUAUUAGACUUGAGGUCGGGAGAGGUUAGGGGUACUCCCAGGGUAGGGGUGAAAUCCUAUAAUCCUGGGAGGACCACCUGUGGCGAAGGCGCCUAACUGGCACGAACUUGAAGGUGUGUUUGGGAUGUUUGGGUUGUGAUAAG